ACAAACAAAAAAAAAGAAAGAAAGAAAGAACACUAGAGAAAGGGUCGGCAAAACAGUGAGUGUUUUGUUGUUUUUGAUUCUAUUGAUCUCUCACUGUCAGGUUGCACUGCCGAUCUGUUCACAAUCAUAACUAACUAAUACCUUAGCUUUGGCCAAUCUCAUGUUGCAAUUUUGCUUCAAACACAACAUUCAGGGAUUCUUAUGAAAACAGCAGCAUUUCUGAAAGAUCCUGGAACGGCCACAAUCUCAAGAGGUAGUACGAUUCUACCCGUCGUCAUAUUUCGUCCGCCAAGCCAUUGCGCGGAGAUGUUGGCUCCAUGCCCAUUUCAACACAGGCUCACCCGCGCUCGCUCGCGCGUCGUCGCUUGUCUUCCAUGCCACCAGCCAGCGCUGCGCGCUGCCUGUCGCGCAUGCGCUGUUCUUGUUGGCUUCGCUUUGGCUGCUGUAACGGUCGUUUCUCGUCGCCGCGUGUAGUUCGCGUAAUUGCGAGCGUUCCAGCAAGUCUAAAGCGUUUUAGAGGCUUUGUAUUGUUGUUCUCACCUGGUGCUGUCGUUCUUGCAACCCGUCUGAUAUUGCAACUGUCUGUAAGUGGAAGCGUUUCUUCUAACCGCGAGCAAACCAGUCGGUCUCGUUUGACAUGUCAAAGAGUGAAGACGCUACCUUGCAUGUGAAGCCAAAUCGUUCUUCGCCUUCAGGAUUAUUGCCGUUUCAGGGAUCUGCGCAACGACAGGGAGAUAGAACGCCAAGUGAAGUCGACUGUGUACUUUGUGCAGACGGUUCAGCGUGUAUGACGCAGCGGCCUUCAGCAAGAGAAACUCAAGCACCGUGUUCAAAUGCAGUGGGGACUCUUGCUGGCCAUGACAACGCUUAGAAGUGCUUUUUCGGAAGAAGGACAAGUUGGACCGGAAAUGAGGACCUAGGUGUGCUCUUUUGCGCUGUUGUUCACCGUUCGAUCAUUACCAGUUUUUGUGCCCCCGUGAGUUCAACGCUUAGGUAUGUUGAUGAUAAAUGGAUAUGCGUUAAAAGGUACGUACUCCGGAGUGGUGAAUUGUUCUGGUGAAGUGAUUCGUUGCUGCUAUCUCCUGUUUCGUGAGGGUUCUUGUCGGUACUCAUAUACCGCAGGCAUGAGGGGCUUUCUUUGCAGAACAUUUCAGUAAACCAAGACUGCAGCAUUUUCAAGAUUGCCAUAACCAGCAUCAAUGCAGCUCUCAUGUCAACAUCAGCAUCAAGACAGCUCUGAUAGACCACCUCUUACUGUGUACGUUCCCCCCCCCCUUUUGAGACACCAUUGAAGGGCCAGUGGUUACGCAGGCAGGCUGGAUAUUACGACACAAUUGGCAUGCAUUGGAUGAUGCAGGCAGACUGCUUAGUGUACACCACUCGUCGUUUAGUCUAUUGAGGUGCUCCAAGUGUUGUGUCAGUCUAUUUCCUCUCCGAAAAUAAAAUGUUGGGCUCUACA